AAAAUAAUUCCGUCUUUUUCUCCGGGCCGGUUUUGUUUUUUAUCGGAUGAAAAUAUACGUCAAUUUUGACGUCACUGCUGCAGCAGACGUGUUGGGUGUUUGGAAAAGGCAAGUGAUCUCCUAACAAUAAUAUUUUAAAGACUUUUGAUUCAUAUUGUUUAAAUAUAAUUUCAUUAUUGUUACAGUCCAAAGAGCCCGAAGCUGAUAAGACUGGCGAUUGAUCCUGAAGCUGAUUUGACAGACGAUUGCAUCAUCACAAUAUUGAAGGUUCAAUAUACAGUCAGCCUCUCAUAAGAUAAAGAACAAAUCCCAAGAUCCAAGGCUUGCUUCAAAGUUAAGAGACCAUUCUGUGCAACAAAGAAAUUGUUCAGGAAAAGGAGAAGAGGUGGAUAUUCAUUUUUGGUACGGUACAGUUCAAAGAGAUUUUCUAAAUGGUCAUGGAAGAUCAAAGGGAGGACAACUGAAAAAACUGAAAGAUACAGAAGGAAAAAGAGCAAGGAAAUAUAUGGAAUAAUUAUGAAAUGGGGAGGAUGUACACAAUCUUGUCUGAAUUUGACCUGUGAAGAUUUCCCAUAUUGUAUGCUGGAAUAAUCAAUAACUUGAUUUUUCAUAAAUUUACAAUAGAGAUUACAUGACAAAUGUUAUUGCUGAUAUUUCAAUGUUGCUUUGGACACUUUCAUGUCAUAUGGUAUUUUUAUACAUUACCUAAUUAUGUUAUUCAUUUGUACAUGUACAGUAUACAUGUUUAACUACUAAAUCAUUUUGCUGAAAUCUUAUAAUUUGUACUCAUGUUAGAAUAUUUUUAAUACAUGUAUCGACAAAUGCUACUGACUUGUUUGUAUAUUUUCUUGUUUAGAAUGUACACUGUGAAAAAUAAGUUAUUUCUCUUGAUGAAAAUAAUUUUAUCAAAAAAGUUGUGUAAGCAUUUUAAGAUAUUUUAAAAUAUUUAACCAAUGAAGAUAGAUCAUUGUAAUGUAAUGAAUUUUCAUCUAAAGCAGAAAUAUCUGAUUUUUAAAUGUGUACAAGAAUGUGAAAAAUAUUGAAAAAGAACACACAAGUGUUUCAUAUGAUUUACAUAUGAUGUACUUUUCAUAUGA